rnacentral:rRNA from 1 species
AACGAACGCUGGCGGCAUGCCUAACACAUGCAAGUCGAACGGGAUCCUAGCUUGCUAGGUGAGAGUGGCGGACGGGUGAGUAACACGUGGGAAUCUGCCUUUUGGUUCGGGAUAACCGCGGGAAACUGCGGCUAAUACCGAAUGCCCUCGAGAGAGGAAAGAUUUAUCGCCAGAAGAGGAGCCCGCGUCCGAUUAGGUAGUUGGUGGGGUAAAGGCCUACCAAGCCGACGAUCGGUAGCUGGUCUGAGAGGAUGAUCAGCCACACUGGGACUGAGAUACGGCCCAGACUCCUACGGGAGGCAGCAGU